rnacentral:rRNA from 1 species
GAUGAACGCUGGCGGCGUGCCUAAUACAUGCAAGUAGAACGCUGAAGGAGGAGCUUGCUCUUCUGGAUGAGUUGCGAACGGGUGAGUAACGCGUAGGUAACCUGCCUGGUAGCGGGGGAUAACUAUUGGAAACGAUAGCUAAUACCGCAUGACAACAGUUAUUGCAUGAUAACUGUUUAAAAGGGGCAACUGCUCCACUACCAGAUGGACCUGCGUUGUAUUAGCUAGUUGGUGAGGUAACGGCUCACCAAGGCGGCGAUACAUAGCCGACCUGAGAGGGUGAUCGGCCACACUGGGACUGAGACACGGCCCAGACUCCUACGGGAGGCAGCAGUAGGGAAUCUUCGGCAAUGGACGGAAGUCUGACCGAGCAACGCCGCGUGAGUGAAGAAGGUUUUCGGAUCGUAAAGCUCUGUUGUAAGAGAAGAACGAGUGUGAGAGUGGAAAGUUCACACUGUGACGGUAUCUUACCAGAAAGGGACGGCUAACUACGUG